UACGUAGGGUGCGAGCGUUUGUCCGGAAUUAUUGGGCGUAAAGAGCUUGUAGGCGGUUUGUCGCGUCUGCUGUGAAAAUCCGGGGCUCAACCCCGGACUUGCAGUGGGUACGGGCAGACUAGAGUGUGGUAGGGGAGACUGGAAUUCCUGGUGUAGCGGUGGAAUGCGCAGAUAUCAGGAGGAACACCAAUAGCGAAGGCAGCUCGCUGGGACGUUACUGACACUGAGGCGCGAAAGCGUGGGGAGCGAACAGG
rnacentral:rRNA from 1 species